rnacentral:lncRNA from 1 species
UUGUGCAAAAUUUAACAAGACAUUGGUUUUCAAAACUAUGCAAUGAUACGUCUGUAUUUUCACAAUUUGCAAACUUUUUUAUUUGAAACCUUUUGUAAGUUUGUGCCAAUGCAGAAACUAUUUCAAUUUAAGUGCCAAGAACAAAAUCAACGUUAGCUUUGAAGAAUCAUUUACAAUUAUAAAAUCAAGAAGCUUAUCUCCUAGGUUCACAAUCCUAGGAAUCCAAAUAAGUUCUUAUGGAGAAUUUUCAAAGAUUAAAAGGUAAAAAUAAUAUUUUUAGAUUCAGAAAUGAUUCUAGUUUGUUUUCCACGCAUAGCAAAUUUUGACUUUGCAGAAAUUAAUCUAAGUAUACUAAUGACAAUGUCUUUCGAAAUCAAGUCCAUACUAGCAUGAGUUAAUUUUAUAUGUCAAAAUAAGUUUCUUUAGUCUUGGUAUUCAUAAAUUAUGUUUUUCAAGAGUAUACCAAGUACACAUUCAUAUGUCUAUAUUCCAUAGAAGAUGAUGCUAUGGAUAUUAAAACAACUCUCAAUCA